rnacentral:lncRNA from 1 species
CAAUUCAUUAUUUAUUGGCAUAUUCAGGAUUCCAAGAGAGACUGGGUUUGGUUUUUCAACCCGAUCCAUGUAUGUAAUGGAAUAGAGUACCUUAUUCUUUUUAUCGGGAGCACAUACACAAAUGGAAUUCCUUUCUUGUACAAUAAAAAAUGAAUUUCACUCAAUUACAUUACCCUUAGAGAAUACUUUUCCAGAUUCCACUUUUUCCUUUUCUGGCUCCGAUUUUGUGU